AACGUAGGAGGCGAGCGUUAUCCGGAUUUACUGGGUGUAAAGCGCGUGCAGGCGGUUUGAUAAGUUGGAUGUGAAAGCUCCCGGCUCAACUGGGAGAGGUCGUUCAAAACUAUCAGACUUGAGGUCGGUAGAGGGAAGUGGAAUUCCGUGUGUAGUGGUGAAAUGCGUAGAUAUACGGAGGAACACCAGUGGCGAAAGCGGCUUCCUGGCCCGAUCCUGACGCUCAGACGCGAAAGCUAGGGUAGCAAACGGG
rnacentral:rRNA from 1 species